GCCCCUUCGGCCGCGGGCAAGAGGGCUUCCGUGACUUGGUCUCGGAGAAUGCGGGCACCAGCGGGAUCCGUGACGAGAGACUGUCUUCGGAGAGGGACGACACGCAGCAGAGAGCUGGCGUUCACCCGCCUGGCGGCUCCGGUGCGAGAGGGCCCGGAGCACAGGUCAUCUAGAAAUACUCCCAUCAACUGCAACAGGAUUGAGAGAAUGGCCUACGUUUUGAAGAAUUUACAAACUUCAGUUUUCAAGAAUAUGUAUCUCUACAUAAGAAGAGUCUUAUGUAAGAACUGUACGGUUUGAUUAGAAGCACACAGCAGAAACAGAGUGUCUAAAUUCCAACAGCCACAAUUCCAGGCAUGUCUGCUGCUCAGGAUGUGAUUCACUUACUCCUGUCAAGUGUUUGCUUGAGGAUAAAGAUGAUGCUAAAGGAUAAAGACCCACAUUCAGGUCUUCUCUGAUAAUGGGGAGAAAGAAAGCAAAAUGGAAACUUAUACCAUCACAAAGUGAGGAAGUGGUGCAUGCCUCUGUGUAAAGUGCUGUCUAGCAUUUACCAUAGCAAACCUGGAAGCUGGACAGCCAACCAGGAAUGUGAGAGCACCUGUAAUUUCCAGGUGUUCUGGGCACAAAAGGAGGAGAUCUAAAUGAAGACAAGACCUUACAAGGGUAAAAAAAAAAAAAAAAAAAAAAAAAAAAAAAGACGGUGUGAUUAAGUCUUUCAGUAUCAUUAUUGAAAAGACAAAUGUUGGAGGCUGUGUUGCCUAAAAAAGAUGGAGGCAUAUUAAUAGAAAAUAUACUAUUUUAUCUACAGCAGAUCAAUGCUUCGUUAAGCGAUUAGGAAGUGUUAUGAAUUCUUGAAAGAAACAAAAGAGAAAGGCUGUUUCAAUUUCAAAAUUUUUAGAAAAACUGAAAGGAUUCCAAACCUGGAAGAUAAAAUGUUCUCAACCAAAGAAAUGUUCAAUGCUCCAAUUAUUAUUCACAUUUUAAGUGCCAAAAAUUUUUUUUAAAAAAUAUUGAUUUGUCACUGAAAAUUGACUAUGCAAUAAAGAGGGGUUCUUGCAGAGGAAAACUGUCCCA
rnacentral:lncRNA from 1 species